CCUUAGAGAAAGAAAGGUUCCUAAACCUUGCCCGACUAGGUGGAACUACAUGUACGAAAGUUUAGUAGUAGCGUACGAAUAUAGGAACCCAAUUAACGCGACGUAUAAUUCUCGGGAUUGUGGGGAGGAAGAUAAUGACAUGCUAAAUACAGUAGAUUGGACUAACGUUAAAAUUCUUUUAGAUUUUUUAGAACAUUUUCAUGUGGC
rnacentral:lncRNA from 1 species